CUGUGCCAUGUCCCCCUUCUGUGCUGUGGAAUUUACUGCUGCUAGCUACGGGCUCUGAUGCUCAGAAGGUGGGUCAGUAGGAGACUGGGUAAGGCACUCAGCCUUAAAGGACUGGGAACCAUCUGAUCUUGUGCCCAGCGACAAGUGCAAUGUUCACAGAAACAGUACACGCCAGGCCUGCCACUUCAAACAUUGAAGACUGUUCAAACAAGAUAAGAGGCUGUGGGUAAGGCUAUAUCCCCAGCUCUAAUAACAUAGGACGCUCUCAUCCUGAACCUGCCAGGAACAGCAGGGACGACUACUUCCUGCCUCAGGUAGCAGUAAAACCCCACAGAUGGCUCUCUAUAUCCUUCUGCAUGGAGAGCUCGGAGUCCAUGAUGUACCGUGUGACUUGUCCUAGAUCCCCAGGAGUCAGAAGAGGUGCUUAGGAGAUCAGAGUUGUACUGUUGGGUGUUCACAUCCCAGGGGAGGAAGAACCCCACACUACGACACAGGCCAUGGACAUCAUAUACCCAGAUGUUGUGACUUAGGAAUGUUCAAAGAGUCCUAGCUCUGUAACAGAGAAGUCCCACAAGAUGCUAGGCACAUUGACUCUGGGAGGAGUUGGAGCACCAAGUCCUGUUCCACUGUUCAUGCCCAGCAGGCCAGAAGCACUGGGGGUGGAGGUGGGCAUGGACCCCUGGCUGUGGAUCCUGGCCCAGCUUACAGGUCCUCCUACCUGGCAGGGGGCACCAUCCCUUCCACAGUCCUAGUCUGCCUUUGCUUCUACUGAGUUAAGAACCAAUCUCCUCUUUGCUUCUGUGUUACAUCUUGCUGUCUAAGUCACCCUCCCUGCACCCAUCGCCCUGCCGUCCAUCACUAACAGGAAAUUAAUGGAUACCAGGAAGCAAGCAUCUUAUAGACUGGGGAUUGUCAACACAGAUGCAGACCUGUGAAGCAAACUCGUGCACAAAGCCCCUCCUGUUUGUUCUCCAGGGGAUACCUUGGACUUACAGUUCAACACAUCACCUGGACCGUUCAGUAAAUACACACAGCAGCAGAGUCAGCCCUCACCACCCCAGUGGGCACCAAAGCUUGUGAAAUCCUUCACAAGUAGGACUGGGCCAUUCCUUUGAGGAACAAGGGAAACUGGGGACAAAGAGAGAUCCCAGUGGGAAACGUCUGCUUAUAGCCUAUAGGAUGGAUUUCAGCCAUGCUCAUCCUUUAUAAGAAGAAAGUGCAAGUACUUUAGGUCACCCGAUGUCACCUGCAGGAUACUGGGGCAGGGGGAUGCUGCAGCAAGUUCGGCUCUGUCUCAACUCGAGUUAAAGUAGCAGCUUCUUGGAGAAGAAUAUAUACAGCAGUCACAGAAGCCAGAUGUAACUUACUCUCUGGGUCUCCGGUAAUACCAGAGCAGGGGCCUGGAGCCUGGGACGUUUUGCUCCUGACUCCAGCAUCCAUUACUGCAUGUGCUGAGGAAAAGGCUGUAUCCUACCCUGAAUGGACAGCUUUAGGGACAGGGAGUUGGUAGGAGUCCUCAACUUAUUUUUCUUACUUCAUCUAUUCAUUUUAUAUCCCGGUCACAGCCCCUCCCCCACCCUUCCCUCCAAGUCCCUCUCCCCCAUUCCUGCAACCCUCUUCUCCUCAAUCCCCUCCUCUUCCAUCUCCAUCCAGAAAAGGGCAGGUCUCCCAUGAGUGUCAACAAAACACAGCAUAUCAAGUUGCAGUAAGACUAAGCACCUCCCCAUGUAUUAAGGCUGGGUAAGGCACAACAAUAUGAGGAGUGGGGUCCCAAAAGUCAGCAAAAGAGUCAGA